rnacentral:rRNA from 1 species
UACGGAGGGUGCAAGCGUUAUCCGGAUUCACUGGGUUUAAAGGAUGCGUAGGUGGGUUGAUAAGUCAGUGGUGAAAUCCCCGAGCUUAACUUGGGAACUGCCAUUGAUACUAUUGAUCUUGAAUACCGUGGAGGUCAGCGGAAUAUGUCAUGUAGCGGUGAAAUGCUUAGAUAUGACAUAGAACACCAAUUGCGAAGGCAGCUGGCUACGCGAAUAUUGACACUGAUGCACGAAAGCGUGGGGAUCAAACAGG